rnacentral:tRNA from 1 species
CAUUAAGAAGCUACACAGCAUUAACCUUUUAAGUUAAAGACUGAGAGUAUCUAAAUCUCUCCUUAAUGA